UCCCAUUGGCUAGGCCGCCUGUGACCCCGCCCCUGAGUAACCAGAGCUGGGGCCCAGGGGGCUGGGCCAGCCUCGGGGGAGGGGCCUUAAAGAGCCCCGGCGGUGUCCAGUGCGCCCAGAGCGGACAGCGGAGACAAGCAAGAUAGGAAAGGUGGAGGAGCUAAUGUCACAGAGAACUGAAGUAAUUUGUCCAAGACCCUACAGCUUCUGGUGAACCAGGAUUUGAACCCAGGCAAUUGGCACCUGAAUGAGGGCUCCACCAUGCCACUGUACCCCCUCAGAGGGAAUCUUGCCCUUCCUCCCACCUCUUCCCCUCCUGCAAGGCUCCCUAGUCCACUCACCUUGCCGAAGGUCAAUUUCUGCCAGCUGCCCAUGAGUGUUGCCCACGAUCACUGAACUAAGGAGGAGACCAGAGGUGGCCUCUAGGACUGGCCGACGCUGGGGAGAGGCUGGAUCGUAGACACGGACCUGGAGAACACCGAAGCAUCACGAGAGCACCCUCACGCCACAUACCCGUCCCUGGAUUGUCCGUAUCUUCACUCCCUCCUUCAUACACUGCUUUCUUAUGAGCCACUCUUAGAGAAACUUUCUCAUCUGAAACAUACCCCCCUCUUGCUCUGAGUGUCAGGGAAGAGUGGGCAGAGGAGAUCUGCUUAGGGAGAGAAGUCCCCCAGGUUAGGGGGGGGGGUGACAGCAUUUCCAGGGUCCACAUGUGUGGGCAUUCCACCCCUCCAUACUCCCAUCUUGGCAUGAAAAGGCAAGCCAGUCCAAUUUUCAGAGAGUACUGAAUUUCAGGCAGAGAAAUUUAGCCUGAGCAACAGAGGGGAGAGUAAGCCCUCGCAGUGUGUUUUGAACAGCGACAUAUCCCCAAGAUCAGAUUUCAGUAUGCAGGAGCAAAGGAAAUGGGACAAACACAGGGACCCAGUCCUGCCAGGAUCUUAGGACUUCAAAUGAGGCCAGCUGUAAAGAUCUCCAGUCGGGCCCGCCCGCCCUCCCUCCUAUAAAGCUGAGCUGAGGGGGCGCCUGGAAGGCUCAGUCGGUUGAGCGUCAGACUUUGGCUCAGGUCAUGACCUCGCGGUCCUUGAGUUCGAGCCCUGCGUCGGGCUCUGUGCUGACAGCUUGGAGCCUGGAGCCUGCUUCAGAUUCUGUGUCUCCCUCUCUCUCUGCCCCUCCCCUGCUCAUGCUCUGUCUCUCUCU